UACGUAGGGGGCCAGCGUUGUCCGGACUUACUGGGCGUAAAGCGCGCGCAGGUGGACAUGUAUGUGCCGUGUGAAAGCGCCGUCCUUACGAUGGCGAGGUCGUGGUAGACAGCAUGUCUAGAGGCUCGAAGAGGUCGAUGGAAUUCCGGGUGGAGCGGUGAAAUGCGUAGAGAUCCGGAAGAACACCGGAGGCGAAGGCGGCUUGCUGGGCAUGGUCUGACGCUGAGGCGCGAAAGCGUGGGGAGCGAACAGG
rnacentral:rRNA from 1 species